rnacentral:rRNA from 1 species
GACGAACGCUGGCGGCGCGCCUAACACAUGCAAGUCGAACGGAGUCAAGAGGAGCUUGCUUUUCUUGACUUAGUGGCGAACGGGUGAGUAACGCGUGAGUAACCUGCCCUGGAGUGGGGGACAACAGUUGGAAACGACUGCUAAUACCGCAUAAGCCCACGGAUCUGCAUGGAUCUGCGGGAAAAGGAUUUAUUCGCUCUAGGAUGGACUCGCGUCCAAUUAGCUAGUUGGUGAGGUAACGGCCCACCAAGGCGACGAUUGGUAGCCGGACUGAGAGGUUGAACGGCCACAUUGGGACUGAGACACGGCCCAGACUUCUACGGGAGGCAGCAGUGGGGGAUAUUGCACAAUGGGGGAAACCCUGAUGCAGCGACGCCGCGUGGAGGAAGAAGGUUUUCGGAUUGUAAACUCCUGUCGUUAGGGACGAUAAUGACGGUACCUAACAAGAAAGCACCAGCUAACUACGUG